rnacentral:tRNA from 7 species
UGCGGGGUAGAGCAGCCUGGUAGCUCGUCGGGCUCAUAACCCGGAGGUCGCAGGUUCAAAUCCUGCCCCCGCUA